rnacentral:rRNA from 1 species
AYCGGGGAUUCCCCUAGUACGGCGAGUGAACCGGGAAGAGCUCAAAUUUGAAAUCUGGCGUCCUCAGGGCGUCCGAGUUGUAAUCUAUAGAGGCGUUUUCCGUGCCGGACCGUGUCCAAGUUCCUUGGAACAGGAUAUCAAAGAGGGUGACAAUCCCGUACUUGACACGACGACCGGUGCUCUGUGAUACGUCUUCUACGAGUCGAGUUGUUUGGGAAUGCAGCUCAAAAUGGGUGGUGAGUUCCAUCUAAAGCUAAAUAUUGGCGAGAGACCGAUAGCGAACAAGUACCGUGAGGGAAAGAUGAAAAGCACUUUGGAAAGAGAGUUAAACAGUACGUGAAAUUGUUGAAAGGGAAACGAUUGAAGUCAGUCGUGACCGAGAGGCUCAGCCGGUUCUGCCGGUGUAUUCCCCUCGGUCGGGUCAACAUCAGUUUUGUCCGGUGGAUAAGGGCGGUAGGAAGGUGGCACCCUCGGGUGUGUUAUAGCCUGCCGUCGCAUACAUCGGGUGAGACUGAGGAACGCAGCUCGCCUUUAUGGCCGGGGUUCGCCCACGUCCGAGCUUAGGAUGUUGACAUAAUGGCUUUAAACGACCCGUCUUGAAAMMGGGAMCAAAAA